GGAGAGCUACAGGGGCGAGGCCCAGAGCGUGAGGAGAGUGUAACGGUGGUGGCCGACGUGGGCACCGGGCUGCUGACUCCAUCUGCGAUUCCAGGGGUCUGGUGAGGGGGACAAUGGGCGGAAAGAUGUUCCGUGGUGAGGACACCUUGUGAAAAGGGAAGAAACUGCUGUGAGAGUGCAGUAAAAAGAACAAGCACUCGUGGGGCUACGGCGGAGGCUCUAAGAGAACAGUGGCUGGAACCGAGGCCGGAGAGGCGGCGGCGGUCUUAUGGGAGCCACGAUGUUUCUCAAAUAGCAGACUUUUAAGAUCAAGAGACGACAGCAGUAGAGAUUAAGGUGCCAGCAUGGACGGCGAGGGAGUUCAGAAUGUAAGUGAGCACAGGAGCCCGGGCACGGAUGAGACUGUAACGAAAGUUCAUCAAGGGAAAAGGCAACCAAAUGGAGCUCUGGGCGAAGAGGAAUCCACAGAAAAUGGAACACAGCAUUUCAUAGAUUCUUGGAAAUGCAGAGGACUUAGGGUCUCAUCGAUGAUGACCACAUUCAGAGAGGCCUACAGCGGGUCACAGAAUAA